rnacentral:lncRNA from 1 species
CAAAACCAUUAGAACUGUGAGUUCUCCCCAGGGGCCCUUACCCUCUUUUUGUGCUUCAGCCACCAGGUCCCUGGUGAUUCUUGCUUCACUUUGAGGAGCAAAACAGCCUUGUCCACACCAAGAAGGAAACUUUUUGCAACUACCAGGACAGACAGCUGUUGUCCUUGGAUCAAGAGGCAAGCCACAGCUUGAGAGCUACAUACUGUCUAUCUUACAUAGGGACGUGCUUUCCCUAACCUCCUGGUCUGAGCCCUGUCCACCACCUGUUUCCCUGGUACAUGAACUCCUGUCUGUGUGCAAAUCUGUAUUCUUAUUGAUGCCCUUUUACUUGCUUCAGAUAUCUGGAUGUUGAACCCUGGUCUCCUACUCAGAUUCUUUGCCUGCUUCUUUUGAUUCAUGCUAAUUCAUUCAGAUCUCAUUGUUGCUGUCGGUAUUCACAGGAUUCACACACCUUCAGCUCCAGAGCUCCCCGGGGAUCUCCUGGUUGUGAUAUUUGCCAGUGUGUAGCAGCAUCAACCACAGCUAAAGUGUCUUGGGCUGGCUUCUCCUGGGUCACUUGAUCUUAAGACCUCUGAAGCCUUAGUACUGAACAUCCACAUGCUCUUCACUCUCAUGAAGCAGCAUGUUCUAUUUUUGCUGUAUCUAGGUGCCAUUGUUGUUAUCUACAGCUCCAUGGUGGUGCUAUGGGAAGCUUUCUCACAGCUCCCAGAGUUUGCUGUGGUAAUUGCCUUGAAGUGUUCUGAUCGGAUUUGUACCUCUUCUCCUGCAGAAGAUGCCAUGCUGUAGCAUAGGAGCCAAAUGCCAAGCUUAUUGGGCAGAUUCCAUGUGGACAGCAGCCGUGGCCUUGAGGCUCUGUGUGGUGGUGAUACUGACUGUAGUCCCUGGCAGUUGCAGCAGGCAGGAAGCAGAGAGAGAAAUGUGAUGAGGCAGCUCUGGAGAGGGGGAGCCACAGGUGCACCCCUGCAUUGGGAAGAAGCCAUCAACAACUGCAGCAAAGAGACUAGAUACACCACACACUCCUGGUUUUGCUGGGGAAUUUAAGAAAAAUGCAGACAGAAAUUAAGGGUGGAGUUCUAGGAGUCCUCCUGGAAAGAAGCUAGGGAGAGAAAUUCUUCUGAUUGGCAUUUUUUUCCUCUAUAGCUCCACUUUUGUCCUGCUAAAAGCAGGAAUCAGAUCAAAUGUUAAGCAGAUGACAUUUGACAGUCACAACGCAAUACUUUUUCUCAUUACCACAUAACAUUCCCCUACUACACCAUUUAAAUUUCUCACUCUCACCCAGGAUAAUCACAGAUGAGUCAUGAGAAGUGAUAAAUAAAAAAUAUGAUUUUUUAAGUCAAACAUAAGUAUCAAACUAUAAAGACCCAGCAUGUAUAAAAUUUAAUUUUGCAAUUAAAACUCCCAACAAUGUUUAUCUCCUACCACCUAUUAUGUGCACAGAUCUCGUUGUGAUGCUCAGAAAUUAAAGCAUGUAAAAUGUGUGGUUCAAGGAAAUUACUUUUUAAAGAAAAAAAACCCACUGAAAUUUAUUGAUUCCUGUUACUGAAAAAGUCAGAAGUAGGAGUAAUUACCAUGAAAAGGGAGUUAAAAAUGCUGGGACCACAAAAGGACUAAGAUCUAGCCCAGGCUUCUCUUAGAUGGUACAGAUGGGAGAAAGUCCUAAAGAUCUUGCCAUACUUGCUACAUUCAGGCUUUCUCUCCACUGUGGAUUCUCUGAUGCUGACAUUAUACAGAUUUAACAGCAAGAUCUCUUC